rnacentral:rRNA from 1 species
AUACGGAGGGGGCUAGCGUUGUUCGGAAUUACUGGGCGUAAAGCGCACGUAGGCGGCGUAUCUAGUCAGAGGUGAAAGCCCUGGGCUCAACCCAGGAAUUGCCUUUGAUACUGGUAUGCUUGAGUCCGGGAGAGGGUAGUGGAAUUCCCAGUGUAGAGGUGAAAUUCGUAGAUAUUGGGAAGAACACCAGUUGCGAAGGCGGCUACCUGGCCCGGUACUGACGCUGAGGUGCGAAAGCGUGGGGAGCAAACAGGAUUAGAUACCCGGGUAGUCC